UUCUGAGUUGAGCGUUGGGCUGUGAAGUUCGUUGUUCUGUCGGACCUGACUGAGUGAUGUUCUCGCUAACCUUAAUACGACGGAGAAGAAACCAAGGUCCUCUUCCCCCUUCGUGCGGCGGUGACCUGAUGCGUUUGCACUUCUUCACAUCAGUCGAAACGGUCUGAAUGAAGGCUUCGUGAUUAAUCUCAUUGAUUCACUCCCCCCACUGCAUCGUCUUCAAUGCUUCUUCGAUCUAAAAGACUGUGAUUUCUUAGUAUAAAUAUGUGGAGGCUAGCAAGCGAUGGGGCAAGCGGUGGAGCAAGCACGGAGCAAGCGGCAGAGAGCUGAUGGACCAAGUGACGGGCAGAUCAAGAUGGAUAGCCAUGGAACAAGUUACGGAGAGUGUGAAGAGAGAGAUAGCAAAGUCGAUUGCUGCAGUUCAAGCUCUCACAUGGGAGCCGAUAGGCUAUCGGACAUGGUGAGUUUAUAAGAGCUGGAAUUUUUUUUUAUUUUUUUGUACGAUAAAGGGAAUGAAGGAUUAGUUUAAGGUGAUUUAUUUUUGCCAAAAAUAGGUUUGUUAUUUUGUCUCCUUCACACUUUCCCCUUUCUCAUAUUUUCGUCUCUUUCUCAGUAAAUUCCAAGUUGUUUCUUCUUCUUUUUUAAUUGCGUCAAUCAAACAGUUUGAACGUCACGCUCUCUCCAGUCUUCUUCUUUAUUCAUUUUAUAAAUAUCAAGUGAUGAUCCAAAUCGAUUCUCAACUUUCCUCUCCCUUAUAAUUCUGAUUUACGGAGCCUUCUGGUUUGAUUGUUUUUGUUGGCUUAUUUCCGAACCAAUCGUCUCUCACUUCUGAGAAAUCGACAAGGAGAGCGAUGUAGUAAGAAACGGAGAGAACGAGAUGGAGAGCAACAUAGUAAGUGACAGAGGUAUUGAGAUGAAGAGCGUAACGGAGAAGUCGAGUAUAGACACGAAGCAAGUGAAUAAGAUGGAGCAUUUUUAUAUAUCUUCUGGUCAGAUCUGCUUAAAUAAGUUUAGCUAUGACCAAAACUAAGAAACAAUACACAUAAGUUUGAUAUUGUUUAUGCUAUUUUCCUAAAUAUUGUUUAUCCUAUUUUUCAAUUUCAGACGAAGUGGUCUUGCUUGAUGUUAUUUGAUCUCCAGAUAUUGACAUCGUUCACGAUUCUUAAAGGUAAUCAAAUAUUUUCCAUACAUGGGUUUUUCACAAGGAAGAACCAAGAGAGACAAUGAGAUGUCAAUGAACCGAAUCUGGAUGCUUUUGUCAUGAAUUAUGACUAUACAUUUCUUCUUCUUUUGAGCUUCUGAGCAUCAAAUAUGUUUACACAAGAACGAUAUGAAUCAUGUAUUUAUGACGAAUGACUUCUGAGGCUUUCAGAUGAUUUGCAAUGAUAUGCUCAAUGACUUUGGUAGAC